GUUUGCCACUGAAAUUUUGCAACGCCAACUGAAGGAAGAAUCUCAAGCCAGCUCAAGUAAACUCGGGAAAAUCUCUCAUGCUGUUGGGACAACCAUCAAUCCGGUAGCUGUUAUGUUCAAUGCAAAGAUGAUGUCCAAGAUGAAGAAGAUCACCACCAGAUUUCAGGAGAUGGUGGACCAGCAAAACAAAUUGAAUUUAAUAAAAAGAUAUGUCGGU
rnacentral:misc_RNA from 1 species